ensembl:ncRNA lncRNA:CR45710 long non-coding RNA:CR45710
AUCAGAGCCAGAGCCAGAGCCGUACCCAUUCCCAUAGCCAUAGCCAGCGAUCUCUGGGUAUCCGCAUCUCACUCUGGCCUCUUGGCCACCAGUUAGAUGGCAGGAUAACAGCGCCGCAGUUGCCUCAGUUGCCUCAGCUACCUCAGUUGCCGCAGCCACCGCGUCGGCCAUGCCAAUGGCAGCGGCGUCACUGCGUCUCAGCGCAACGGUCAAUGACCGACCGACUAAAAAACAGCAUUGCUAGCACCGCCAACGAACCACCAAACCACCGAGCCACACUACAACACACCACAACCACAAGCACAAGCACACACACACGCACACACAUUCAAAUGCAGCGACUUCCGAGGCAAGCGCGCUUUUGGCGGGGCCAAAAUCCUUGCUUCAAUGUCAAGGAAGUCGAAGCGCCGCGGAGGCAACUUCCUUGUGCAGACGACAGCGGAGGUUGGAUGCCCCAAACACUUCGUUAUCCUCCUCCCCCCUUUUAUUCAACAAGUGAGCGGCAUUUGAAAUGUGCGCUACAUAGAAAGAAAACCCUAUAUUCAUUCAUACUUAUUAAUAAAUUGAUGUUUUAUUGAACUAAGCAAACACAUC